rnacentral:tRNA from 1 species
UCCCUGUUGGUCCAGAGGUUAAGACUCUGCACUUCCAAUGCAGGGGGCAUAGGUUCAAUUCCCGGUCAGAGAA